GGCCAAUGAGAGGCGGCCAACGUCCGAGGGGCGGGGCUUAGCUUGGGCGGUAGGCGGAGUCUUGGGCGCUCCACGUGAGCCGAGCCACCCGUGGAAAGGGCGCCUUGGAGGAGCGACUUGAGAAACUGCAAGUCACUUCUAUUGUGAGAGAAUUGGCCAUCGGCAAGGAUUCUGUCCAGGGGACUACUGGAUGUUUGAUGUUUUACCAUCCUUGUGGGAGGCUUCUCUCAUGUCCCCACAUGGAGCCGGAGCUGACAGAGGAAGCUCAUCCGGACUCUCCUCGGGUUGGAUUCAAACCGGCAACCUUCAGGUCAGCAACCCAACCUUCAAGUCAUCAGUCCUGCCGGCACAAGGGUUUAACCCACUGCACCAGCGGGGGCUCACCAUGUAUACUCAACACAUAGAAGCUACAUCCUAUCUGUAAUAAAACUUCAAUAAGAAAUGUACCUGUAUGGUGAACUAAUACAAUUUAUUUAUUUACUUAUUUAUCAUAUCAGAAGUGAACUGAGGGUACAGUUGUAAUGUAUUUAAAAACAAAGAAAGUUGAAAACUUGGUAUUAUACUACAGUGGGGAAAAAGUAUUUAGUCAGAUACCAAUUGAAAAAUCAGACAGUGUGAUUUUCUGGAUGUGUUUUCUCAUGUUGUCUCUCAUAGUUGAGAUCUACCUAUGAUGUCAAUGACAGGCCUCUCAUCUUUUUAAGUGGGAAAACUUGUACAGUUAGUAUCUGACUAAAUACUUUUUCCUCCACUUGUUCAAAGAGUCGACUUCUAACAAAGUCAUGUUUUUCUUGACUGGUGGUUUCAAAAGGUUGUAUCCACAUAUUCAUGGAGAUUCAUAUUUGGCAAAAGGAUCAUGGGCCCAGAGACUGGGUGCAGUUAUUUCCUAAUAAAAGAUAUGUCAAUGCAUAAAAAAUAUAACAGAUCUUCAGAGGUGUUAGUUCAGCUGCCCAAAAGAAACAUCUACUCUCCCAUAAAAUACUUUGCUUUUAAAUCAUGCUCUCAAGAGACCAAAAAUAAGUAGUAUUUGUUAAAAUAACAUAGUUGAUUUAACUACAGACUUCAUGUAUUCAGCAUACAGGUACAUUUCUUAUUGGUUCAAAGUUUAAACAGUAUGUUCUCUAAAGACCUCCCCAGGGAACUUAGGCAAGCCCCCACACUGCAGCACUUUCAGAAGGAAUUAAAACAUGGCUUUUCUGUCAGGCCUUUGAUAACAUUUCAGGCAGUAGCUAAACUACUUGCCGAUUACUUUAGCACUUUAUAUCUACGUUUUGAUUGGUGACGCAGUUGGUUAAACCACUGAGCUGCUGAACUUGCAGACCAAAAGGUUGGUGGUUCGAAUAAGGGGAUCAGGGUGAGCUCCCGCUGUUUGGAAACAUGCAAAUGUGAGAUCAUUAGGUACCGCUCCAGCGGGAAGGUAAUGGCACUCCAUUCACUCACGCCCGCCCCAUGACCUUGGAGGUGUCUAUGGACAACACUGGCUCUUCAGCUUAGAAAUGGAGAUGAGCAUCAACCCCCAGAGUUGGACAUGACUAGACUUAAUGUCAGGGGAAAACCAUUACCUUUACCUUUUAUUAGUAUACACCCGGGACACCAAAUUGAUUGUAUGGAUCUUUUAAUUAAUUGUUAGAGCCACAUUUUAUUGAUUAUUUUGCCUAAACUGAGUUGUUUUUGCUAAUUUUAUAUUUGUGAUUUUAUGAAAUUGUGUUAUUGAUUUAAAUGUUAAUGUACUGCAUUUUAUGUGCUGUAUGGCACCAUUGUGUGCUAUUGUGUAAGCCGCCUCAAGUCCCUAUGGGAAAUGGUGGCAGGGUACAAAUAAAGCUUAUUUAUUAUUAUUA